rnacentral:rRNA from 1 species
UACGAAGGGUGCAAGCGUUAAUCGGAAUUACUGGGCGUAAAGGGUGCGUAGGCGGUUGUUUAAGUCUGUCGUGAAAUCCCCGGGCUCAACCUGGGAAUGGCGAUGGAUACUGGACAGCUAGAGUGUGUCAGAGGAUGGUGGGAUUCCCGGUGUAGCGGUGAAAUGCGUAGAGAUCGGGAGGAACAUCAGUGGCGAAGGCGGCCAUCUGGGACAACACUGACGCUGAAGCACGAAAGCGUGGGGAGCAAACAGG